rnacentral:rRNA from 1 species
ACCUGCGGAAGGAUCAUUGUCGUGACCCUGAACAAAAUAGACUGUGAACAUGUCAUCUAUGCUACCGUUUGAUGGUGCUUGCACCUAUCUCUCGGUCUAGGCCACCCGACCUUCUUCGUGAUGGACGGGGAGCCAAAAGAACCCACGGCGUCGUAUGGCGUCAAGGAAAACAUAAAUUGCCUAGCUUGGGGCACGGCCGGCUUGCCGGACGAACCUCUUGCUGCUAUGAAAUUUAACAUGACUCUCGGCAACGGAUAUCUCGGCUCUUGCAUCGAUGAAGAACGUAGCAAAAUGCGAUACCUGGUGUGAAUUGCAGAAUCCCGUGAACCAUCGAGUUUUUGAACGCAAGUUGCGCCUAAGGCCUUUUGGCCAAAGGCACGUCUGCCUGGGCGUCACGCCAAAAGACACUCCACACGAAUCCCGGUAUGGAUGUGGUAUUUGGCCCCUCAUAACACAUUAUAUGAUGGGCUUAAGAUCUGGCUGCUGGCGGUGCCGAUCACAGCACAAGGUGGAUGACAUAAGUUAUUCUCGGUGUUAUGAUGUGGACACUCCCCGCCAUGUUAUGGCCAUUUUUGGACCCAUGGUUUUGAGUGCAUGUUGCUCGGUCUAUGACCCCAGGUCAGUCGGGAUUACCCGCUGAAUUUAAGCAUAUCAAUAAGCGG